rnacentral:lncRNA from 1 species
UGUGUUCAUAGACUCUUGUAGACUAUCUAACUAAAGCGGUUGAUUUCGGAAAAAAAUUGGCAUAAAGAUUCUCUAACUAUCCAAACUUAAAACUUUAAAGAUUCUUACGAGCUAGAUGAGGUGACAGAAGAAUAAGAUUGUGCAGAUAGGAUGCAGCCAGUUCAAGUAAAAUAUUUUGAUGGUAGAAACUACCUAAAGUUGUAUUUAAAAAGAAUAUUUAAACUGCAUCUUUAACAAAAAAAAUUAUCUUCUUGAUUUUGAUCGCAUAAACUUAAGUUCCAUUUUUGUGGCAUGGUUAAUAUAUUCAUGGUGGUUGUUUAGGAAUAUAAAAGGAAAAAUGAUUAUUAGUUACAUGAAC